rnacentral:rRNA from 1 species
UACGUAGGGUGCGAGCGUUGUCCGGAAUUAUUGGGCGUAAAGAGCUUGUAGGCGGUUUGUCGCGUCUGCUGUGAAAAUCCGGGGCUCAACCCCGGACUUGCAGUGGGUACGGGCAGACUAGAGUGUGGUAGGGGAGACUGGAAUUCCUGGUGUAGCGGUGGAAUGCGCAGAUAUCAGGAGGAACACCAAUGGCGAAGGCAGAUCUCUGGGCCGUAACUGACGCUGAGGAGCGAAAGCAUGGGGAGCGAACAGG